UGUCUGAAAUAUAGGAAGUUACUGGAAGCUGGAAUUUGGAGAGUCUACAGGAUCUGAAGAGAUGGUGCUAUUUUAUUCAGCUAAUACCUACUUCUAUAAUGCUGUCAUCAGAAUCAUUUCAAGUGCCUUAUAUGCUGUCAUUUAAGCUACAAAAUACCUCAGUGGAGUAACCAGAUGUAGACCAACUACUAGCUCCCCUCCCAGGCGACCCUAUGUGAUAUCAGUCUCCUGGGGGUAACAGACACAGAAAGGAAGGAGAUGCUUCAAGCAUCUGGGUAUAGACCUGGUCCUUAUGCUGCUAUGCUGUGUACAACAACGCUAUCAGAAUUAAU